rnacentral:rRNA from 1 species
GAACGCUGGCGGCAUGCCUUACACAUGCAAGUCGAACGGCAGCACGGGAGCAAUCCUGGUGGCGAGGUGGCGAACGGGUGAGUAAUAUAUCGGAACGUGCCCAGUCGUGGGGGAUAACGUAGCGAAAGCUACGCUAAUACCGCAUACGUCCUACGGGAGAAAGCAGGGGACCUUCGGGCCUUGCGCUAUCAGAUGAGCCUAGGUCGGAUUAGCUAGUAGGUGAGGUAAUGGCUCACCUAGGCGACGAUCCGUAACUGGUCUGAGAGGAUGAUCAGUCACACUGGAACUGAGACACGGUCCAGACUCCUACGGGAGGCAGCAGUGGGGAAUAUUGGUCAAUGGGCGCAAGCCUGAACCAGCCAUGCCGCGUGCAGGAAGACGGUCCUAUGGAUUGUAAACUGCUUUUAUACAGGAAGAAACCCUCCCACGUGUGGGAGCUUGACGGUACUGUAGGAAUAAGGAUCGGCUAACUCCGUG